GAUGAACGCUGGCGGCGUGCCUAAUACAUGCAAGUCGAGCGAACAGACGAGGAGCUUGCUCCUCUGACGUUAGCGGCGGACGGGUGAGUAACACGUGGAUAACCUACCUAUAAGACUGGGAUAACUUCGGGAAACCGGAGCUAAUACCGGAUAUUAUAUUGAACCGCAUGGUUCAAUAGUGAAAGACGGUUUUGCUGUCACUUAUAGAUGGAUCCGCGCCGCAUUAGCUAGUUGGUAAGGUAACGGCUUACCAAGGCAACGAUGCGUAGCCGACCUGAGAGGGUGAUCGGCCACACUGGAACUGAGACACGGUCCAGACUCCUACGGGAGGCAGCAGUAGGGAAUCUUCCGCAAUGGGCGAAAGCCUGACGGAGCAACGCCGCGUGAGUGAUGAAGGUCUUCGGAUCGUAAAACUCUGUUAUUAGGGAAGAACAAAUGUGUGAGUAACUAUGCACGUCUUGACGGUACCUAAUCAGAAAGCCACGGCUAACUACGUG
rnacentral:rRNA from 1 species